rnacentral:rRNA from 1 species
AUUGAACGCUGGCGGCAGGCUUAACACAUGCAAGUCGAACGAGUGGCGGACGGGUGAGUAAUGCCUGGGAAACUGCCUGAUGGGGGGGGAACACUACUUGAAACGGACGCCAAUACCGCCUUCCAUCCGAUUUGCCCAGAUGGGAAUAGCUAGUAGGUGGGGGAAUGGCUCACCAAGGCGACGAUCCCUAGCUGGGCUGAGAGGAUGAACAGCCACACUGGAACUGAGACACGGUCCAGACUCCUACGGGAGGCAGCAGUGGGGAAUAUUGCGCAAUGGGCGAAAGCCUGAUCGAGCAAUGCCGCGUGAGUGAAGAAGGCCUUCGGGUUGUAAAGCACUUUUGGCGAGGAGGCGUUAUUCGAAGAGGAAGCAACGGCUAACUCCGUGCCAGCAGCCGCGGUAAUUC